rnacentral:rRNA from 1 species
AUUGGGUUUAAAGGGAGCGUAGGCCGGAGAUUAAGCGUGUUGUGAAAUGUAGAUGCUCAACAUCUGAACUGCAGCGCGAACUGGUUUCCUUGAGUACGCACAAAGUGGGCGGAAUUCGUGGUGUAGCGGUGAAAUGCUUAGAUAUCACGAAGAACUCCGAUUGCGAAGGCAGCUCACUGGAGCGCAACUGACGCUGAAGCUCGAAAGUGCGGGUAUCGAACAGGAUUAGAUACCCUGGUAGUCCGCACGGUAAACGAUGGAUGCCCGCUGUUGGUCUGAAUAGGUCAGUGGCCAAGCGAAAGCAUUAAGCAUCCCACCUGGGGAGUACGCCGGCAACGGUGAAACUCAAAGGAAUUGACGGGGGCCCGCACAAGCGGAGGAACAUGUGGUUUAAUUCGAUGAUACGCGAGGAACCUUACCCGGGCUUGAAUUGCAGAGGAAGGAUUUGGAGACAAUGACGCCCUUCGGGGCCUCUGUGAAGGUGCUGCAUGGUUGUCGUCAGCUCGUGCCGUGAGGUGUCGGCUUAAGUGCCAUAACGAGCGCAACCCCUCUCCUUAGUUGCCAUCAGGUCAAGCUGGGCACUCUGGGGACACUGCCACCGUAAGGUGUGAGGAAGGUGGGGAUGACGUCAAAUCAGCACGGCCCUUACGUCCGGGGCUACACACGUGUUACAAUGGCAGGUACAGAGAGACGGUCCCUUGCAAAAUGGAUCAAAUCCUUAAAGCCUGUCUCAGUUCGGACUGGGGUCUGCAACCCGACCCCACGAAGCUGGAUUCGCUAGUAAUCGCGCAUCAG